GCCUUCGUGAUGUAGUGGUCAGCAUACUGGACGCGGAACCAAAAGGUCCGUGGUUCGAUUCCCGGAGAAGGUG
rnacentral:tRNA from 1 species